UACGUAGGGUGCGAGCGUUGUCCGGAAUUAUUGGGCGUAAAGGGCUCGUAGGCGGUUUGUCGCGUCGGGAGUGAAAACACCGGGCUUAACUCGGUGCUUGCUUUCGAUACGGGCAGACUAGAGGCAUGCAGGGGAGAACGGAAUUCCUGGUGUAGCGGUGAAAUGCGUAGAUAUCUGGAGGAACACCGGUGGCGAAGGCGGCAUCCUGGACCGGUAUUGACGCUGAUGCGCGAAAGCCAGGGGAGCAAACGGG
rnacentral:rRNA from 1 species